GAGGGUAUAGCUCAGUGGUAGAGUACAUGCCUAGCAUGCAUGGGGUCCUGGGUUCAAUCCCCAGUAACUCCA
rnacentral:tRNA from 1 species